rnacentral:rRNA from 1 species
CCUACGGGAGGCAGCAGUGGGGAAUAUUGCACAAUGGGCGCAAGCCUGAUGCAGCCAUGCCGCGUGUGUGAAGAAGGCCUUCGGGUUGUAAAGCACUUUCAGCGGGGAGGAAGGCGUUAAGGUUAAUAACCUUGUCGAUUGACGUUACCCGCAGAAGAAGCACCGGCUAACUCCGUGCCAGCAGCCGCGGUAAUACGGAGGGUGCAAGCGUUAAUCGGAAUUACUGGGCGUAAAGCGCACGCAGGCGGUCUCUCAAGUCGGAUGUGAAAUCCCCGGGCUCAACCUGGGAACUGCAUUCGAAACUGGCAGGCUAGAGUCUUGUAGAGGGGGGUAGAAUUCCAGGUGUAGCGGUGAAAUGCGUAGAGAUCUGGAGGAAUACCGGUGGCGAAGGCGGCCCCCUGGACAAAGACUGACGCUCAGGUGCGAAAGCGUGGGGAGCAAACAGGAUUAGAUACCCUAGUAGUC